GGUCUCAAUGCAUCUUGGAGGCUUCUUCCAUCGUGGUUUGAGUUGCUUCUCCUUCAUGGCUCUGGUCUUGUUAAUUAGCACGAGAACACUGGCAGGAGUUUAGAGUGGCUACUCAUGGCUCCGCGGCUAAUGGUUUGGCUUUGAGAAGCGGCGAAAAGUCGAGAUCUAGAUUGGUGGGUUUGCUGCUUGUGAAGAGAUUGACUGUGGAUCUUGGAAAAUCCUAGAUGGUUAGUCAUGGAGAUCAAGAGCUGAAGGGUUGUUUGAGCCAUCAACCGUCUUCAGUCGCCAUGAUUUGGAUUCGCUUUACCAGAUUUAAGGAUUGGUUUGCUCGAAAGGCUCAAUGGUGAG
rnacentral:lncRNA from 1 species